rnacentral:rRNA from 1 species
AGCCUACACCUAGCCCCACCCCCACCCCCACACUCAACCAAACUAAACCAAAACAUUUACAACACCUAGUAUUGGCGAAAGAAAAGACAGCAGGCGCAACAGAGAAAGUACCGCAAGGGAAAGCUGAAAUAACAGUGAAACAACAAAAGAGCACCACACAGCAAAGACUAGCCCCUCUACCUCUUGCAUUAUGGUCUAGCAAACCUCAAGUGGCAAAAAGAAUUCAAGUCACACUACCCGAAACCGAGUGAGCUACUAACCAGCAGCUAAGCCUGAGCAAACCCCCCUCUGUGGCAAAAGAGCGGGAAGACUGUUUAGUAGAAGUGAAAAGCCUACCGAACCCGGUGAUAGCUGGCUGCUUGGAAAACGAAUAUUAGUUCUAUUGAAAGCGCUCCUAACUACCACAACAAAGGACAAGGAAAAACUUUCAAGCUGCUUAAUAGGGGCACAGCCCUAUUAACACAGGACUCAACCUUCACUUAAGGGUAACUUAACCUCACCAUCAUACCGUGGGCCUCAAAGCAGCCACCACAAUAAAAGCGUUAAAGCUUCCUUCCUAAAAAUCUCAACAACACCACGAACCCUAUACCCCAACCAAGCCCUCCUAUAAAACUAGAAAAGAUAAUGCUAAAAUGAGUAAUAAGAAAACGACUUUCUCCCAAGCGCCAGCCUACAUACUACAUGACACCCUAUAGAUUAUCAACAGCCACUUCCCUCACCACAACCCCUAAACCAAAAGAAGACCCACCAUCUGUUAACCCAACACAGGAGCGCCACAGGAAAGGCUAAACCUUGCAAAAGGAACUCGGCAAGCAAAGAUUCCGACUGUUUACCAAAAACACAGCCCCCAGCCCACCCAGUAUUGGGGGUGAUGCCUGCCCAAUGACCACUAGUUAAAUGGCCGCGGUAUCCACAACCGUGCAAAGGUAGCGUAAUCACUUGUUCUUUAAAUAAGGACUAGUAUGAACGGCUAAACGAGAAUCUAACUGUCUCCUGCAAGGAGCCAAUGAAAUUGAUCUUCCUGUGCAAAAGCAGGAAUACUACCACCAGACGAGAAGACCCUGUGAAACUUAAAUCAGCUAAGUCACACCAACAACACCAACUACAACCCACGACCACCAUCACCUGACCUAGCGCUUUCGGUUGGGGCGACCUUAAAACAAAGAAAAACUUUUAAGACAACCCAUAGCAAAGUUAGACCAUUAACUGAGAACCACACCUCAAAGUACUUAAAUGUAAUUAGAUCCGACAAUGUCGAUCCACGAACCAAGCUACUCCAGGGAUAACAGCGCAAUCCCCCUCAAGAGCCCCUAUCGACGGGGGGGUUUACGACCUCGAUGUUGGAUCAGGACAUCCCAUUGGUGUAACCGCUAUUAAGGGUUCGUUUGUUCAACGAUUAAAGUCCUACGUGAUCUGAGUUCAGACCGGAGCAAUCCAGGUCGGUUUCUAUCUAUGACUAUGCCUUCUCCCAGUACGAAAGGACCGGAAAAACAAGGCCCAUACUACCAAAGCACGCCUUACCUGCAGCUCAGUGAAAACAACUAAACUAGCAACCAGGAUUAAACCACCCCUCAAAACAAGAGCAU